CCCAAAUCUUAUGCCAGCUGUCUUGCAAUGCUUAAUGGCCAUUGUUCAUCGUGCUUUUGAGACUGCAUUAUCAUGGCUGGAGGCUCAAAUAUGCGAGACAGGAGAUGCUGCUGAGGUCAGAGAGUCAACUCUGGCUGUCCAUGCUUGUUUUCUCAUAAAGAGUUUGUCUGUUAGAGAAGAACACAUUCGGGAUGUAUUUGUUAAUCUGUUGUCUCAAUUGAGAGAGAGAUUUCCACAGGUAAACUGUUGACAUGUAUUACAAAUUUAUGAGCUUUUAUAUGCUAUCUCCUGUAAAAAAUAAAUUACAUUACCUAUAAUGGUAAAAAGAGUAAAUGAUUUGCCCUUUACUUUAAGUAACAUUCUAUUGGGUGCAGAUUCUGUGGAAAUCAUCUUGUUUGGAUUCUCUUUUGUUCUCUGUGAAUGGUGAUCCACCUUCAUCUCUCAUGAAUGAUCCUGCUUCGGUAGCUUCUGUUCGCUCUUUGUACCAAAGCGUUGUCAAGGAGUGGAUUGUUGAUUCGCUAUCCUAUGCUCCAUGCACCACCCAAGGUCUUCUUCAGGAGCAACUUUGUAAAGCAAACACAUGGCAAAAAGCACAGCCCACUACAGACGUUGUCUCUCUUUUAUCUGAAAUAAAAAUAGGAACAGGGAAAACGGAUUGUUGGAAGGGUAAAAAAACUGCCAACAUUCCUGCAGUAAUGGCAUCUGUAGCUACUGCAUCGGGUGGAAAUUUGAA